rnacentral:rRNA from 1 species
UACGGAGGGUGCAAGCGUUAUCCGGAUUUACUGGGUUUAAAGGGUGCGUAGGCGGGUAGGUAAGUCAGUGGUGAAAUCUUCGAGCUUAACUCGGAAAUUGCCGUUGAUACUAUUUAUCUUGAAUAUCGUUGAGGUUUGCGGAAUAUGUCAUGUAGCGGUGAAAUGCUUAGAGAUGACAUAGAACACCUAUUGCGAAGGCAGCAGGCUAAACGAACAUUGACGCUGAGGCACGAAAAGCGUGGGGGAUCAAACAGG